ensembl:lncRNA
AUGUUAACUGAUGGACUGGAGUGCUGUGGAUUACUUGUGGAUUAUUGUGAUGUUUUUAUCAGCUGUUUGGACUCUCAUUCUGACGGCACCCAUUCACUGCAGAGCAUCCAUUGAUGAGACACUGAUGCAGUGCUACAUUUCUACAAACCUAAUAAGGAUCAAAUUCAUCUACAUCUGGGAUGACCUGAGAUAAAUGGUGAGGUGAAUGCCUGCGGUCACUGAGCAAUAACAGCUUCAGCAGAUUCUGAGCUCCUGAACCAAUUCCUCCACAUAAUGAUGAGAUUAGAGUGCUGUCGAUCUCUCCUGACAGAAGCAGUUAGACCCGCGAGCAUCUGACAGACACAACAGAAGCAUCAGGAUGCUUUACAGCUCCGCAUGUGAGAGUUUUGUCAAUUUAGUGAGUUUAAAAUGCAUUUCCAGACCCAGGCUGAGUGUGUUCAGGGACUGAAUGCAGGAAUAAUGUUAUUCUUCUCUUUCUGAGUUAUCUCGGUUUCUAUGUGAUAUGGCACACGGUGCAUACUGGGAUAUCAGGGAUGUGAUGAAAAAAGCGAGGAAAUGCGGCACACACACACACACACACACACACACACACACACACAGACAGAAGACUGGUUUGAUGUACUGUCCGCGGGCCCAGUGCAGGUGCUCACUGAUGAGUGGACUGUCGUGUUCAUUGAUACUUGAUCACACUAGGUGGUCCACAUUAAAUACAGCGCUGAGAGCCAAUCCUGACACAAGCCCUGCGGCACGGCUCCGCUGACCCGCUCAUUGAGCCCAGUGAUAGAUUCACACACACUCUCAGAUAAUAAGGAGCCGGUGGCCCUGUGAGCUCCAUCUCCUCUGAAUUCAUCAUGCGCUAGUCACAUUACAGGCCUUUACCAGCGGAAGGGUCUCCUUUAAUUGUGAAGCGACCCCCUCCUACGUAACAAAUCACCUGUCUGUGGAAGCAGUGUUUCUCAGACGCUCGGAGGAGGCCAGAGAGAGAGUAAUAAGGCCGUUUUUCUAAAGGAUGCUGUGACACAGGGGAAGACGUGUCAAGCCGUCCAGCAUGGCGUCAGUGGACGCUCCAGGUGAGCGAGGUGACACGUCAGAUAUUCCCCAGACAGGACUGAUGGUGUAAGAGCAGCAGCAGCGGAGAGAUGAGCUGAUAUGAGGAACAGUUGAGGCACAGGGCACUAGAUGGCAGUAUAAGUCCAGCGAGAGCGCUGCGUCUGCACAAAGAGUGAUGUAAUCCAGAAGAGGAGAAUGUAAAUUAUUAGAAAAAA